rnacentral:rRNA from 1 species
GAUGAACGCUGGCGGCGUGCCUAAUACAUGCAAGUCGAGCGAACGGACGAGAAGCUUGCUUCUCUGAUGUUAGCGGCGGACGGGUGAGUAACACGUGGAUAACCUACCUAUAAGACUGGGAUAACUUCGGGAAACCGUAGCUAAUACCGGAUAAUAUUUUGAACCGCAUGGUUCAAAAGUGAAAGACGGUCUUGCUGUCACUUAUAGAUGGAUCCGCGCUGCAUUAGCUAGUUGGUAAGGUAACGGCUUACCAAGGCAACGAUGCAUAGCCGACCUGAGAGGGUGAUCGGCCACACUGGAACUGAGACACGGUCCAGACUCCUACGGGAGGCAGCAGUAGGGAAUCUUCCGCAAUGGGCGAAAGCCUGACGGAGCAACGCCGCGUGAGUGAUGAAGGUCUUCGGAUCGUAAAACUCUGUUAUUAGGGAAGAACAUAUGUGUAAGUAACUAUGCACGUCUUGACGGUACCUAAUCAGAAAGCCACGGCUAACUACGUG